rnacentral:snRNA from 1 species
UUAUCCUUGAGUUUACUUGAAAAUAAAGGGUGUAUUAAACUGUUCUCAUCAGCUUAAUAUCCGAUACGCUCUCUAAUUGAGAGCCAGAAUAUUAACCUGAUUUUUGGAACCAGGUGGAUUUUGAGGGGCUCGCUCCUUCUCCACCGCGGGUUAGCCCGGCAUUGCAGUGCCGCUGGGAGUAGCCCAUAACUC